rnacentral:tRNA from 1 species
GCCCGGGUGGCGGAAUGGUAGACGCAGGGGGCUUAAACCCCCCGGGCCCGGAGGGGCCAUGCGGGUUCGAGUCCCGCCCCGGGUA